AAGAAAUACGGCAAUGAGGUCUGCCUUAAACCGUUCCACCUGGAGCUAAUGACAUCUACCUUUAA
rnacentral:ncRNA from 2 species